UUACGGCUAUAUCACCUUGAAACACUGGUUCCAGUACGAUCACCGAAGUUAUGCCACGACGAGCCUGGUCAGUACGUAGAUUGGUGACCACUUGGGAAUACCUGGUAC